GACGGAGGAUGCAAGUGUUAUCCGGAAUCACUGGGCGUAAAGCGUCUGCAGGUGGUUUCUUAAGUCCACUGUUAAACCUUGAGGCUCAACCUCAAAUCAGCAUUGGAAACUGGGAAACUUGAGUAUAGUAGGGGUAGAGGGAAUUUCCAGUGGAGCGGUGAAAUGCGUAGAUAUUGGAAAGAACACCGAUGGCGAAGGCACUCUACUGGGCUAUUACUGACACUCAGAGACGAAAGCUAGGGGAG
rnacentral:rRNA from 1 species